UUACGUAAAUCGGGCCCUCCUCCCCGACUCCCCUUCGGGGUCGUAAUUCGCGUCGCUAUUUUGGCGUUUCCUUCCAGCUCCCCAAUGGUGGGGAAGCCCCCAGGCCCUCCAAACCGUGGGCAGGCGAGCGUUUGAGAAUACUUGCGUACAAACUUUGCGUUGCCAGCACUAGAAAAGGCCCGGUAAUUUCUAGGUCUUUGCGGGGUAAAAAUCCGCUAGUAAAUGGGCCAUCAAUCCCCUAUGUGGCGGAAGUGCGUUUUUUGGCUAUGUUACCUGAACGCUGAGGCGCGGAAAGCGUGGGGAGCAAACAGGUAUUAGUUACCCUGGUUAUCCCACGCCGUAAACGAUUGCCUAACCCGUUCGUCCGCUUCCCGCCCUUUUUACUGUUUGCAAUUAACCCAUUUAAAGCGCUCCCGCCUUGGGAAGUUCCGAUCCGCCAGGAUGAAAACUCACAAACGUAUUUGAACGGUGUUCCCCCCACUAGCCGGUGUUAAAUUAGGGGUUUUAAUAUUCCGGAACAACGCGGAAGAAACCUUAACCCAGGCCCUUGAACUUUCCCCUAAAACUCCCUAAAUACAAAAAGGGUCCCCUUUUUGUGGGUCUAAAAAUCAACGCGACUGUAUGGUCGUCCCACCUCUCCCUCUCGAUAGAAAUUUUUUUAUUAAUUUCUCCAAACUGAGGAAUACCUUUUUGAUUUUAUUCUCCCCCCUCUUUCGAGGCCACCAACUUAGUACCAUUCCCAGUCAAACCCCUCUGCUAAAAGGUGGGUUACACCGUAAACUCUAUCGGCCCCUUCUGCCGCGGCUGAUAACCCCAGUCUUGUAGGGCACAAGGGGCUCUACAACGCUAUGUGAUCACCCAUCCAAUACACUUUCCUCCUUUUCGAUUUGUUGCCCCCACCCUCAAUUCUAGUAUCUUAUACAUGAGCUGGUCCAUAUCAUUAUGAAACUGUCGGACAAAAAUAUCUAUACAUCUAU
rnacentral:rRNA from 1 species